rnacentral:lncRNA from 1 species
CCUUCUCCCUCCCUCCUUCCCUCUCUCUUUUUCUUCCUAUCUACCUAUCAGGGACUGAAUCCAAGGGCACUUUACCACUAAGCCACAUCUCCAGCUUUUUCUAUUUUGAGACAGGGUCUAAGUUGCUGAGGCUGGGCUUGAACUUGCCAUCCGCAACCUCUUGAAUAGCUGGGAUUAUAGGUGUGCACCACUAUGCCUAACUUAAUUUUUUUUUGGGGGGGGGCAGAAUUCUUAAUACUUUAAUGUUUAAAUUUUUAUGUUUUAGAAAUGAAUUUGACAAUAUUAUCAAAUUACCUGAUAAUAUAAACAGCUAAUAUAUAUUUCAGUGCUUAUCUUGUGCUGGUCACACUAAGUAGUCUCUUGAAGUUCUCCCAUUUAGUCCCCACAACAGUCUUUGUUUCAUUUAGGAAGUUACCAUGCAGAGAGUUUCAGUAACUUGCCUAAAGAUACACAGCCAGGAGCUAGUUGUGUAAAUAGUUAGUCAAACUCUGUAGUUCAGUAUAACAAAAUUAUGAGAAAGUAUCUUCGUAGUUCAAAAUCUGUCAGAAAAUACCAGCUUGUUUCCUAGAAGGGAAAAGCCUGAAUAAACUUCUUAAAACGUUACUAAAUAGAGGUAUGUCCAGAAUGGAAAACUACACAUUAGCAAUUAAAACUGUGCACUAUCUAGGCUUGCAUAUAGGACCAAUAUUUAUCUCCAAUGUUUUGACUAUAUCUCAGAUCCCCCUAGGUAUGAAAUUAAUUUUUAUACAUUUAUUUCUUAAAAGGAUAACUUAAGGUUGAAGACAGAAAUAUAGAAUAAUAUUUUUUUAAAGAAAUCUUCAAUGGAGGAAAACCCUUCACAAGCACAUGGGUUAAACUUUGCUUCUGUUUAACUAAUUUUUUUUUUAAUAUUUAUUUUUUAGUUUUUGGCGGACACAACAUCUUUGUUUGUAUGUGGUGCUGAGGAUCUAACCCGGGCCGCACGCAUGCCAGGUGAGCGCGCCACCGCUUGAGCCACAUCCCCAGCCCUAACUAAUUUUUUUAAUAAAGUUUAUUUGUAUGUGGUGCUGAAGAUCAAACCCAGUGCCUCACAUGUGGUAGGCAAGCACUCUACCAUUGAGCUACAACCUCAGCCCCUGUUCAACUAAUUUCAUAAAGCUUUCAAAAUGGGUCCUACUAGUGCUUGGGCAGGCAGUUUAAAAUAGUGAGAGAACAUGGACUAGGGAGAAGUCUGUGUUCACAUCCUGGCAUUUUGUUAACUUCAUUAUUUGUUUUGUAAAUGAAUCAUUUAAGGUCAGCAUCAUUGGGAAUCCAAAUUAGAGAUCAGGCUUGCAAGAUAUGAUUCCUAAUCUAGACUCAAAUGACUAAUAAUGUAAGGGGAAAAAAUAGAGCAGAUGAUUAAGGGUGGGUGGGGUUAGGAGGAAUGCCAGAAGACCUAAGGCCAUGACAGUUUCAUGCAUUUACUUUUGUUGAUCUCCUUUAAAAGUCCUAAAAGAGGUUUCAUGCCCCAAGUGAAAUCAUCAUCACGAGAUUUGUUUUAGCGCGUUCAAUCUGAGAAGUUUUGGAAGAAAAAAAUAUACCUAUGUACCAUUAUUUGUGUAUUUAUUCAAAGACAAUUAAUAUUUUCACAAAUCAAUACUUUUAAUACUAUCUUUAAAGCAUUAAGCUACAUAACUACUAAUUUUUGUGUUAGUGAAAACAAUAACCUAGAAUUUAACCUUUCAAAUCAAAGUUUAUAUAUUUAAUUUUUUAAAAAGCCCUUUCUCCUACCAUUUUAUAACAACUCCUUCUUUUGCUUCUUUUCUAUACCCUUUGGCUCAGCAUUAAAAAAAAAAGUGGCAUGUUUUGCAAUAUUGAUGACCAACUAAGCUCAGGAUAUUUAUUUCCAUCUGGUAGAGUUCAACUUCUGCCUCUUGUUUGCUUUCUCCAUCUGCCUGCCUGGCCUUCAUCUUUUUUUUUCCCCCUUCUCCUUAAUGGAGUUCAGGUUAACCCUGUUUUAGGUCUAAUCGCUUUAGCAGGCUCAUGCCUUCUUACCACAAUAUGUUUCCAAAAGAUUUUGCAAGUAGAGUUUCAAGUAAAAUUAGAUGUGUACUAAAUACUCUCGAGAUUCAAAAGUUUUUUUCUUUCUUCUUCUUCUUCUUUUUUUUUUUUUUUUUUUGAGAUUAGCAGAACUCUAAGUCUUAAACAGUAUUUGAACUGGGGGAGGGGGUUGUUAUUUUUGUCUAUACACGUUUUUAAAUGCAUACGCAGACUUUUUAGUUUUCAGUUUGUUACAGAAGCAGUGUUACAUUUAUGUUCAAUAACUGGCUUUCCUAUACACAUUAAACUGGAUUCGAUAAAGUUUCAACUCUUCUUUAACUCCCAAAGUUACUGAAACAGCAGCCACAAAUGGCAUUACUAACCUACUUAUUUUGCAAUUUAAACUUUGACAAAGACAUUUCCUCAUUCUUCUCCCUGUGUGGAGUAGAAACGGCUUCAUGGCGUUGGCACCUCUUCUGAGAAGGGACUGGGAUUCCCCAAGGAUGUAGUCUGGUUUUUUGGGAAGGAUACCUCAUGAGAGCGAUUUCCCUAUCCUUUCCCCGGUACCCUCACCGCUCGGUUCCUGCACACAUAAAGCCUUUACCCGCACCCCAUCCCGCUGCACGCUCCUCCUGCGUGUGGAACUAGUCACGCAGAUCCCAAGGGAGGACGACAUGUAAACACCGAGUACGCAAUGGGAAAGGAGCUAUGGAUUUGAGCCCGACCAGACCAGCCUGCGCGCGUGUAGACACAUCUCACACAACACUAAGCCUCAAGCUCCAGUCAGGCAGCGCACUCCUUGCAAAAGGAUGCGCUGGCCCAGGGCCUGGACUUGCCAAAGCGGGAAGGAGGAGCUACGGGGGAGGGCGGAGCUUUCACACGCGCACCCUCCCUCUGUUUCCUUCUUCGCUCGGACCCAGCAACUUGGUCUCCGGCCGCCACUGGGGGUUUAUUUGUUUACAAGCGGAUUACGUCAGCUCCUCCCUCUCUUCCCGGUCUCUGGGCCCGCCCCCUGGUUCCUUUUUCCCGCCCCCUCAGGCUCCGAAUCUGCUUGCGUCACAAUGGUGCGAUCUCCGGAUUGGCUAGAGUCGGCCGUCACGCUCCAGCUACGCCACUUCCUUUCCGCGGCACUAUAAAGAUUGCUGCACGGCGGCAGCAUCUCUUCGCCCCUCGGAGCUGGAAAUGCAACUCUUGGGAUCUUUGGAGGCUAAGGAGCUGGAGGCGGAGGCGGCUGGGGAGGUCCGAGCGAUGUGACCGGGCCGCCAUCGCUCGUCUCUUCCUCUCUCCUGCCGCCUCCUGUCUCCGAAAUAACUUUUUUACUCUAAAGCAAGGGGAAAAAAAGUAGCCGUCCGCCCCUCACACCCUCCCUUCCUCUCAGCCCUCUGGUCUGUGAGGGAGCCCGGGGUGGCCGCUCCGCCGUCGGGGCCGCGCCGCCGAGCCCCGGCCGCCCCGGGCCGCCCCCGCCCGCCGCCCCCAUGCAUCCCUUUUACACCCGGGCUGCCACCAUGAUAGGCGAGAUCGCCGCCGCGGUGUCCUUCAUCUCCAAGUUCCUCCGCACCAAGGGGCUCACGAGCGAGCGACAGCUGCAGACCUUCAGCCAGAGCCUGCAAGAGCUGCUGGCAGGUGAGCGGGUCGCGGCUGGAGGGCGCGGGCACCCGGGGCGUCGGGGUACGUGGGCCUCACAUCCCGUGUCGGACCGGGCAGUCCGCGCCCCUGUCCCGCGGCAGCACCUAGGUGGCCGCUAACGGCGGGUCCCGGCGAGGGUUUGGGGGCUGGAGUCGAGGGCGCCCCCUCACCUCGGCUUGCCAGCCAAGGGGGAGAAGAAACCAGACGCACAACAAAGAAACUAAAGCCAACGAGGCUGGAGUCGCGGUCCUCGGACCGUCUGUGGAUUUGGGGACAAAGGAGCCGCGGGGCUGGGGUUGGUUCGACGUCCCCUCCCCCAAAGUCCUCCAACCGUUGCGGGGUCUGCGGCCCGGCCCCGGGGUGGGAAGUGGCGCCGCUGCCCGGAGCUAGCUCGGGAUCGACGUGCCGUCUCUCCGCACCUCCUGCCCCUGCCCAUUAAUCAUCGGAUUUGUCACCGGCACAAUUACAGCCCUGCCCUGAGCGUGGUUUAGGGUUUCUUGUUUUUCCUCGCUUCGGGGUUAAUAGUCCGGUGCGUUUCUCUUCUCCAAAGCCAUAAACUCCAUUGUGUGUGGCUGGGGUGGGGUGGAGAAAGUAAACAGGUUCCCGCCUGGCCGUGGUGUGGUCCAGCGGUCCGGCUCCCCGGCUGGCCAAGCUGCGCGCCUGUUCUUGUUUUGGCGGCUCAACCGGUUGGUUCCUGGAGCUUGUUUUGUCCCACACUGCUGUGUUAUUUCUAAAACCCUGCCCGCUUUUUCUCCAGUGUCGCGCGCGCACAGCAGUGAACACAAUCCUGCACAUUUGUAGAAGUUGGUAGUUUUCAUAUUCGCUCUUCAAAGGAGCUUGAAGGAGGAAACUGAGAAGCUAACAGUACCGAUCUAAGCAUUGUUUCUCUGUUCUUUUCUUCUGUAGAACAUUAUAAACAUCACUGGUUCCCUGAAAAGCCGUGCAAGGGAUCAGGUUACCGUUGUAUUCGCAUCAACCAUAAAAUGGAUCCUCUGAUUGGACAGGCAGCACAGCGGAUUGGACUGAGCAGUCAGGAGCUGUUCAGGCUUCUCCCAAGUGAACUCACACUCUGGGUUGACCCCUACGAAGUGUCCUACAGAAUUGGAGAGGAUGGCUCCAUCUGUGUGCUGUAUGAAGCCUCACCAGCAGGAGGUAGCACUCAAAACAGCACCAACGUGCAAAUGGUAGACAGCAGAAUCAGCUGUAAGGAGGAACUUCUCUUGGGCAGAACAAGCCCUUCCAAAAACUACAAUAUGAUGACUGUAUCGGGUUAAGAUAUAGUCUAUGGAUGGAUCAUCUUAUAAUGGAUGGAUAAAUUUGAUUUUUGCUUUGGGUGGGCUCCUCUUGGGGAUGGAUUAUGGAAUUUAAACCAUGUCACAGCUGUGAAGAUCUGGCACAAGAUAGAGUGGUAAAAAAAUUUUUUUAAGUGACAGUGCCAUAGUUUGGACAGUACCUUUCAAUGAUUUAAUAGCCUGUGAGUCCAAGUAAAUGAUCACUUUAUUUGCUAGGGAGUGAAGUCCUAGGGUGGUUUCAGUUUCUCCCAGACAUACCUAAAUUUUAACAUCAAUCCCUUUAAGGAAAAUCUGUAUUUCAAAAAACCUUUCUCUGCAGUAGAUCUUGCAGAGGAAUUUGCACUAUUACACUUGAAAAUUGUUGUUGAUAACCUUUUUGGCAGCUCAGUAGGAAAGCUUGUUUUAAACAUGGUAGUACUGGAAAUUUUACAAGACUUUUACCUAGCACUUAAAUAUGUAUAAAUGUACAUAAAGACAAACUAGUAAGCAUGACCUGGGGAAAUGGUCAGACCUUGUAUUGUGUUUUUGGCUUUGGAAGUAGCAAGUGACCAGAAUCUGCCAUGGCAACAGGCUUUUAAAAAAGACCCUAAAAAAGACACUGUCUCAACUGUGGUGUUAACACCAGCCAGCUCUCUGUACAUUUGCUAGCUUGUAGUUUUCUAAGACUGAGUAAACUUCUUAUUUUUAGAAAGUGGAGGUCUGGUUUGUAACUUUCCUUGUACUUAAUUGGGUAAAAGUCUUUUCCACAAACCACCAUCUAUUUUGUGAACUUUGUUAGUCAUCUUUUAUUUGGUAAAUUAUGAACUGGUGUAAAUUUGUACAGUUCAUGUAUAUUGAUUGUGGCAAAGUUGUACAGAUUUCUAUAUUUUGGAUGAGAAAUUUUUCUUCUCUCUAUAAUAAAUUGUUUCUUAUCUUGGCAUUUUAAUCAAUCUCUUGUCAUGAUUAUAGAGGUUCAGCUAAAUACUUUUCUUAAAAGACUUAGGUCCUAUAAGGUAUCUUAGUUGCACACUGGUCAUGCUGUAAAAACAUUGAUGAGGAAUGAGGGUGAUCACAUCAGGGUGAUCUGUCUAUACAUAUUUAGGUGUUAGAGAAAACAGAAGUAACAUUUUUUAAAAUCUUGAGUCAAAACAUGGACACAUUCACAGGCUAAUGAUCUCAUGAAAUGAGGAUAAAAGACAAAGGUGUUACAUCUUCCAAAAAAGGGAUAUUCAAAGGAUUAUAUUUCAUUGCUUCCCUGUUGAAGUGAAGAUAUAAAUGUUCCAUUCUGCCCACCUUUGAGAAACAGUUAUUUUACCCCAUGGAUUUCUUGUUCAAUUAGAAAAUCCUAGGGCAGGUGAUCAAUAGUCUUAAGAGAACAGGCUAAUCACCUCAGAGAGAUGGGUUGCUUUUUGGUUUUCAUCACCUGCAAGAUUUACAUAAAAAUCCCUUAAGCUGGAAUUCAACAAAAGGUAUGUUUAUGAAUUUUUAUUCUCAAAAAAUUGAAAUGCUGACCUUUUCCUCAUUUUUCAGACUUAUUUCAGAAAUUCUAAAAACCUAAAUGAAUAUUGAGGAUGCUGUAUAGGUUAGUUGCUCCCUGUCCCACAUAUUAAAGACUCGGUGGAAAUUCUUUGGUUUGAGAAGAUAAGAAAGGAAAUUUAAAUGGAAAUUGAAAGUGCAGAAAUUGGAAUUUUGCUCUACAGUUAAAUAAACAGUGACUUUGGGCAGGGGGAUAUACAUGUAAACAUUUACAUUGGAAAGAUAUUAAUACAAUUUGAAAUACUUGAAUGUCAAUAAUCACUUGAAGUCAGUAAUAACAUUGAGAAUUUUUUCCUACGUGUAAGAUUAAAUUUUCCCAAUUUGGUAGACUAUACCAAAAUACACUGCUAAACAUACCAUGUGUUUAGAAUACAUGUUAUUUCCCUGGACAUUAGCAGGUCAUUUCAUGGAAAUUUGAAUUCUUACAACCACAAUACAUGGAUUAUUCUUGGGAAUUGUCCGGUUUCUAUUUUUCAGUCAUUUCAGUGAAAAUAUCCUCAGUGUUUGAAGCUCUAAUUUACGAUAAAAACAACAGUUUUAAAAAGGGUCUCACCCUAGUGUUGCCUGCUGUUUAUUAACUGCAUAUCAUCCAGUAACUCCUUUGAAGCUAAUUAACUGAUACAGUUUUGAAUAUUAAAUCAAUGGAACUUAAAAAGUAAGGAUGACUUCUAGACACUUGAGGAAUAUAUUUUCAGUACCAAAAAUUUUUUUCCAUAAAACCUUUUCUCACACUUUUUGGUAUUUAAAGAAAAAAUGGUGAGAAGAUAACAAAAUGCUUAUUUUGGAAUAGAGGUGAUAUCUGGUAUGUGAGGGGCUAUUUAUUAAGUUCCUCUUUAAAAAAGGCAUGCAAACAUCACUCAUAUUUAACAUCCAGCUGUUUCCUGUAACUUGAACCUUAUAUUCCCCAGGCAAUUGAGCCAAGCCUGUGUCUAUAAUACAGUAGCUGUUUGAUAUUUCUUGUUCACUGCUUGUGGGGAAUGUUUUGCCUAGCUAUUUUGACAAAAACAUUGAGUGUCUGCUCUGUACAUGUGCAGGUGUAUGCCAGACUGCCACAUGUCAUUUAUACCAGUUGGGUUUUUUCCUUAAUAUAACAGUGGUAUAAUUUUUAAAGGGUUUUACACUGCUUGAGUUAAAAAGUAGCUCAUUAGAAAUCCUUUUAAGAAAGGAUGCCUGCUUUCAAAAUUAUUAGUUGCUUUUGGCAGCAGGAAUUCAUAGUUAUGAUUGGCAAUAAGUUUGAGGGAUGUUACUUGCUAAGUUUUAACAGGUAGUUUUUAGAUUUAUUUCUCCAAAUGUAAAUACUGUCUUGUUUUAGAAUGCUGAAACAAGGCUUGAAGUGGAUUAUAUAGUAAAGUUACCCUAGUUCAUGCAGUGUGGCUGUUACCUCUGUCAUCUAGAAUGGGAAUUGUGUGUCCUUACUUAUAGUAUUUCUGUAAUAGACCACCAGAAAAUGACUUUCAGUUACAAUUGCACAAGUAGUUCCCAUACAGGUAAUUAAUUUUUGUUCUGCAUAGGUGUUACAUUAAGGAAUAGGGCUUCAUAGUUACAAGGAAGGAAGCAGUAUUCCAUGUCUAGUGUUAAUGAAUGAAGGUUCCAGGCUCCUUUUAAUCUUAGGAAUAAAUAAAUUUGCUAUUAGACUUUUAUCACUUGAUUUUUACACUUGAGAUUCUCUUGGUUUCCUCUUAAUAUCUCAAACAAUUUUGCAUAUUAAAGUUUGAAGGUAAUUCUUCUGUUUUAGCUUGUAUUUCAGAUGGUGUUGGAAAAUGCUAGUGGUAAGCUAUAUGGAGACAAUUUGCCAAUUAUCUAUGCUCCUAAAACUGCAUAGAUUGCUUAUUUAUCUGAAAGUAUACAGACUACAAAUAGUUUUAGUCACUGGAAUUGAACUUUAUUAUAUAUAUGGCUGCUGUUGACAUAACUAGUUUAUUUUCAUGAUAUAUUUGGAACAUGAUAUAAUAAUAUGAAAAAUUUUUUAUAGUAAAAUAGUUUGCUACUAGUUAGAGUUAAGAUGCAUAACUAAGGCCUUCAACCAUUUUUUUCCAUAUUUUUAUUGGUGCAUUAUAAUUGUACCAAAUGGUGAGAUCUGUUGCAUAUACGUACAUGCACAUAAUAUAAGCAUAUAAUUUGGCCAGAAUUCCCCAGUAUUUCUGACUUCCCUCCUUUGCCUCCCCUUUUCUUUACUUGACUGAUUGUCCUACAGUUUUCAUGAUAUUCCUCCUCUCCCCAUCACCUCAUUUACUUUAGUAAAUGGGACUGUACAGACCAGAGAAAUCUGAUGUUGUAAUUUCUGACUGUAUGUGUAGAUCUUGAUAUUUACAUCCGAGAAUAUCAAAAUGAACAUGGUUAUGAAGAUGUUAAAUUUUGUUUGAGAUGCUCCUAAAUAAACUUAAGUUAUAUUAAUAGGUUUAACCCUUUUUUCCCCUACAAAUUUCCAGAGUAAUAAUAAUCAAAACCAACUUUUUUAACUACAAUUUUAAAUUGGUUUAGCAAUGUUUUUAUGCAUUGCUCUGUCAAGAAGGAAUAACAAACCAUAAGUCUUCCAUUCAUAGAAUUCUAGUUUGUUUUCUUUCUUUUUUGUGUGUGUGUUUCCUGUUAUGAUUAACUAACCUAAAGGAGCAUUUAGGAGUUCACUUCUGACUUACGUGAUCUUUUUCAUGAUAUUUACCACUUAAGUGUUGAUGUUGCAAUAUUCUUAUAUGCUUAUAGGGAAUAGUGACGCUGAAGGAUGAAAUGUUUUGAGUCUAGUCCAGGGUUGAAUAAAAAGGGAAAGGAUAGGGUGGUUAUAGGUAUACAUCUAAACGUUUGUGCUACACAGUCUCUGGCAGAAUUUGGGAAUCCACUAUUGUAGGGAUUUUGUAAUUCAUGGGUCUGAAGCAAAGCAUCCCUCUUGUUUUUUUUUCUUUGAACAUUCUGGUCAAAGUGUUAGUACAGCCUUAUAGCCCCACUUUCAGAGGAAGUGUGGAGGAGGAACAUAAAGUAUACUCUGUAGACAUUUUUAAAGAAAAUCAAACUGGGCAUUCAUCUUUUUUGUCUCAUUAUUCUAUAGAGAGAGAAUAUUUUUUAUGCUAUUAUGAAACGCUUGACAAUUAGAGCCUAUAUUAUGAAGGCCAUUUAUGACUGUUCCUAAUGAUAGAAGGAUGGCUAAGUACAGGCCAGACCUCUGAUAUCCUAGAGGAUUACCAGGAUAGGAGAAAACAGUUGUCUUAAUAGGAUUUCUGUAUUUGGAGAAUAUUACAUUAAGCAUUACUUAGUUGAAAUUGUUAGCAUUGAUAGAAGACAUUCACCUAUCGGUACAUUUAAUUUGAAUGAUUCUUUAGAUGGUCAUUUCCAAAGUUUUUUUUAUAACAUUCUCUUAAAAUGCUUUUGCAUAUGUUUUCAUGAAAAUUACUGUAUAUUCAAAAAGCACAUGGUAUAUAUUACAUAAGCAAAUCUCCAUAUAUUGGAAUACACUAAAAAUUUUAUUGAUGGGGAUGAAUGUUCAAAAUGUUUAGAGACUAUUUCUCAUCACUCAAGUAGGUAUUUGCUCACCCAAGAAUAAUUCAUAAUUAUGUUUUUUUCUUAAGUGAUAAGUCUUAAAAUGAGAAGAGAAUUAUAAUUUUAGCUUACCUGUUCUUAUUUGUAAAAUUAAGUCAUCUUAAUAGUCAACAGAUAUCCAAAAUUGAGUGUAAUUGCUAAUUCAAAGACAAUAUUGUUCUUAUAUUUUCAAGAAUGUAUUGCUAUGUGUGGAAAUUCACAUUUUAUCUUUCGUAGAAUUUUUUUUGUAAAAUAUUAGGUACUUGGUGACAUUGAUAUGUAUGGUUCUAAGGGAACUGAAUUAUUGAAGUCAUAGAUUGGUAAUUAAAUUAUUUUUAGUAGUCAUGGUUAAGCCAGAAUUUCCUGUUUUCUUUUUUCCUUUUGUUUUGAGCCAUUCCUAAAUUUUUGGACCUCAUUUGAGAGGAUUCCUAAAAUGGACAUAAGCCUUAUUUCAUUAGACUUGAAAAUUGCACUAUAAGUAGGAUUGAAUAUAUUUUCUAGUUUUCCUGAUUUAUGACUCUUUCAUCCCCUCAAGUCAAUAGAUUGAAUGACGUUGUAUUUCUUAGAAUUGCACUUGGGAACCUUCAGGUUAUCAGUACAUAUUCUUACUGAACCAUUCAACAACUGGAUGAGGUUGACAAGAAGGUCAGUAUUUUUUAAUCUUUAUUUUAUGGAUAUCAAAAACUAAGCUUAAUUUUCCCUAAGCCUGACAGCUAAUGGACUAUUUGAACAAAAGGCCUUUCUGAACCCAAAACUCGAGUGCUUAACUAUUGGUAUAUCAUUUUAUUUUCCUUGUUGGAAUAUGUUUGAGUUCCCUUUACUACUUGGCCAUCUUUGGUCAUUUUCAGUAUGGAAACUCUGUCCGCCCAGGAGAUGGAUAACUGUACCACUAGGCUUCUUUCUUUGAGGAAGUUAGGAUUUAUUGUGAAGAAUACUAGUCUUAGAAGGAUGAGUUGGAAUCUUGGCUUGUGACUUUGGAGCAGUUAGCUAGUCAGUCUCUGAACCCAUCACUCCAUAUAUAAACAUGGGGGUAAUAAUAUAUGUUCUCAAGAUCAAAUAAACAUGAAAACAUGAAAGGUUGGAUUUUUUUGGAAUUUGAAUUCUUUAUCAAUUAAAUAUAGCAGACUUUUUUUCUUGAAAAUUUUGAUCAUAUUGUGAUUAUAUUUGAUGUCUUGAAAGUCUGCUUUAGUCUGUGGCUACAAGAAAAAUGCUGUGUUUUUGAAAUAAUAUAGGAAGAAAAAUGAGUUGUCCUUUUGCAGGAUGGAAAUAUAGAUGACUUAGGGCUUGCAUAUCUAUUUUACAGGUUUUUCUGAGUGGGUUUCUUAAUAUGUGGUUUUCCUCUCCCCCCACCCCUCAAUAAAAUAGAAGGAAUCCUUGGGAUCCUUUGUCUAUAUUGAAGACACUUAAGUUGCAAGUUUAAGAAAUGGCCCCACAAAUGUUAACAGUGUAGCCCUGUACAAAGCAGUUGUGCCUGCCUCCAUUUUGUUGCUUAAUCCUCUCUAACCAUUUGCUAUAGGAAGGAAGGAAGUUAACUUUUCCCAGGGUUUGCAGUCCUUCAAGUCAUUUGUAUUUGGCCAUGCUUUUACAAGAAACUUUCAGUUAUUUUCAAACAGGACUCAGUGGUGCCCAAUCUCUUCUUAAUCUAGAGUGGUCUGAGUACUUCCUUCACUGGAAAGAAAAGCAGCCUUUUAUAAGUUAUCAGUUGGGGUUUGAGUUUCUUCUUGUAAUGUAACCUGAUGCAACAUUUGCCUGAAUCACUAAUAAUGUAAUUGAUUUCCACCAGUCAAUCAUAAAUGAGUCAGUGACCACGGGUUCCUUUGGUUUAAACUCAAGUCCUUUUCCCUACGUGAUGAUAAUCCUCAUUGAAUACUUGCUGCUGGCUUGUAUAGCAUUACCGCAUACCUUGGUGAAGUAGAUACCCAGCCAUCAGGGCUUCAUGUUAAUUUAUUUUGCAAUGAUAUAGGAAACAAAGGGCACCAUUCAUAAAAGAACUUCAAGGGACUUGAAGGCAGAAUUCCCUUUGGCCCUUCAGCAAUCUUGCUUCUUACAAACCCCUGUGUGGUUCAGGACCUGCUUGGAGUUGUGUGUGGCUUUGUCAUCAGGCAGUCACUGUGCUCCUGUUAUGUUUAACAUUGUGAUGUGAAAAUAUGAGUUUGGAACUAAUUAGAAGAAGGUUAGGUAGCCUGUGUUGUCCCUUGAGACACUAGUUAUGGUUAUAGAGUUGGGGUUGGAGCCUUUGUAUGAUAUUGAAACACUAGAUAAAAGCUCAUUUCCUUGAGUCCCAGAUUCUUGCAUUUCCCCACUACCAUGUAAGUCUCCGAGUUUUUUAAUUCUCUUAGGAUCUUUUCUGAGUGUUAAAAUGACUGAUGUUUCGUCCCGGGUCUGCCAGCUGUACCUCUCAUGUUCAUUGAAAAAAUACUUGGGAGUGUCUGUUCCAAACGAUUGCCUGGUUAAGCACUGUGGAUGCAAAACUAAGUCACUGUCCCUGUUCUCAAGCAGUUUGGAGCUUGGUAGCAGAGAGCAUUGCUAAGGAAAAGAAGAUGGUGGAGUGGUGUGGUGGAUAUGAAUGCCACAGAAAACUUUGCCAGAAAAAGGGACCUGGAGCUGAAAUCAGAGAUGAUUUAAGUGGAGAAGGCAGGAAGAGGGAAGUAUAUGCACAAACUCUGUCUGGAGAGUGAUUGUGAAGGGGAGGGGUUGAAGGAAGACCCGUGCCACUAGGGUGGAGAGGAGCUUUGAGAGUGAGUCCGAGGGCAGGCUUUAGGUAGAGUAGCCAUAUAAUUUGAUGGAUAAAUUUAUCAACCAAAUUGUGACUUUUUGCAGUAAAAACAGAUGCUGUUAAUUAAGCGCAGACUAUAAAACAUCAGCCAGAACAUAUACAUAUGGUCACUUCCUUUUUUAGGUUAAUUUUUAAAAAUUUUUUAGAUAUAUAUGACAGUAGAGUGUAUUUUGACAUAUUACACAUACAUGGUGUAUAACUUAUUGUAAUUAGGAUGCACUUUACUUUCAAAGGCCAUGUAUGUUAACAGUAUUAUCUGGUUUUUUUUGUUUGUUUUGGGGGGAUUGAACCUACGAUGCUUUACCACUGAGCUACAUUCCCAGUCCUUUUUAUUUAUGUAUUUAUUUUUGAGGCACAAUUUUGCUAAAUUGCUGAGGCGGGUCUCAAACUUGGUGAUCCUUCUGCCUCAGCCUCUCAAGUCACAAGUAACUGUUUAGUAUUACCUCUUUUUGUUUCUUGGGGUUUUUUUGUUUUGUUUUGGUACCAGGGAUGGAUGUUUAGCAAUGGAGCCAUAUUCCCACCCCUUUUUAUUUUUUAUUUUGAGACAGGGUCUUGCUUAAUUGCUGAGUCUAGCCUCAAAUUUGCAAUCCUCCUGCCUCAGCCUCCCAAGUUGCUGGGAUUAUAGGUGUGCACCACAGUGCAGCAUUACUUGUUUUCAAAGGCUUUACAACCAGCAGUGUAUGUUACUUCCUAGUUAAUAUAUUGAGGAAUUAGAAUACUUUACCUUGUCCAAAUGAACACAAUGAAUAUUCAAAGGGUGUGUUUUCCCAGACAGCUAUGUUGUAUGAUUUGUUCUGGUAUACAUUAAAUGACUAAUGUUUUUAAGGUUUGGCAUAAAAAGAUGGGCUUUACUCUGAGGUACUAGAUGGACUAGAGUCAUUUUAGAGUCACUGUCAAUAGUGUAUGAAAGAGUAUAAUUCAAAUACCUUGAAUAUUUUUCAUUUAUUUUUUGUUAGGACAUUUGUCAUUUUUGCAAAGAUGUUUAAUUUCUAUUCUAAGCUUACAUUUUAACUGUUAAUUACCUCCUGACCAUAACUUUCAAGUAUGAGGCAUUUUUUUUUCUUCAAAUUGAUGGGGAAAUCUUCUAUAUAGUUAAAUAAACAGAGAGAGCUCAGGGAAUUUUGCACACCCAUAUAAUCCACACCCUGAUCGAGAGAUAAAACAUUUUUAUCACCCCAGAAAAUUCCCUUUGGGGGCACUUAAAAUUUGAUUUUUAAGAAAUAUGAGUGUGGAGCCAGAACUCAAAUUAGAAAUGAGUUGUUUUUCUUCUCCUCUUUAUAACUUUAUUUUUGCUUCCUAAACAUGUAGCAAUAGUUACUUUAAACAUGAAACAAACUGUCGCCAGAACAAACCAUUGCUUUUCAACUAGUUAUGAUUUAGUGGUUACUAAUAUAGUACAUCCCUACCCAAUUUGUUAUGUCUUUUUAGGCCUUUAAAGUGAGGAGUCAAGACUGAGUCAUAUCCCUAGCACUGACUCACAAACAGUCCUAAGAUUUUGGAAUCUUGGUCAAUCGAAAAAGACUGUGAUAAUACCACAUUUAUAUAAUACUUCUCCAUGCUCCUUUUUCUUAGCUUGAUGGUCACUCUGUAGUCGCUUUUACAGAUAGGAAGACCAGUGUCCAGCCUAUAUAUGUAGCUAAGUCCCAGCCUUGAGCGUUUCUUUUCAUCUCAGUUUUUAGCACCAAUUGCCAAAGAACAGUUAGAAUAUUGACCUAAGUCACAACAAAAUUUGUUGCAAAGUUGAUUCAGCUGACUCAUGGGUCACUAAAGAUUCUUGAAUCAGAGACAGAAAGAUUUGCCCCUCAAUAGAUUGUUCAUAAUUAGUUUGAGAUCCACUGAGGGACAGGGAAAGGGGAUAGCUUCUCAGUGAUGGGGAUGGGUUCACUUUUUUUCGGGGUAGGUUUAAUAUUCUGAUUGGAACCUGAUCUGGAAUCAGAUCUUGAAUGAACUACUUUUUUCUGAAAAGACAAUGUGUUCUUCUUAGCAAAUCCUCUGCUGCUAAAGCAGUGGUGCUUUGGGACAGUGGUGGUAGUGGAUGUGGGUGGUUUGCGGCAUUUUUUUUUCUCUCAGUGCAAUAAUAUUUAAUAUUUUCAGUAUCAAUUGUACUUUGUUUUUCCCCUCCAUUCCAUUUUAGAAAAAAUGGCAAAUCAGUGAAAAAUGUAAGAGAGGUUAAAGCCAUAAUUGCUUAGUAGUAAAACUUGUCAACCUGUUGCCAAUUGGAGAAGCCCCAGUUGUGGAUUUUACUCUGAUAUCACUAGCAGGUUCAUUCUGUAUUUUUAAAAAAUAAGGGAAAUGUCAAUGUGUUGCUUCAUUUUAUGCAUUUUGAGGACAGCUCCUCCUUCACUCCUAUCUCAGGCUUUAUACAGGCAAGUUUUCUGAUGUCAC